UACAGUUCGUUCAAGUGCCACCAGUUUUUUUGGAGUUUCAUCUUUUCCAUUCAUCUGAGUAAGUUCGUUCAAGUGCCACCAGUCUGGUUUUGGAGUUUCAUCUUUUCCAUUCAUCUGAGUAAAAUUUCCUCCCUGGCAACUAUUGGGGGCCAUGAUACCAAACGUGUCACAUGGAACAUCCUUUCCCAUAUGUUCCAUGACGAUGUUGGGAGGAGGAUCAAUUGGAAGGGCAUGAAUGGGAAAAAAUCAUUCAAUCAGAUGAAGUCUAAAAAGUUACUCCUGUGUGCUGUGAGAAAGAGCCAUGUCUCCUGUGCCGCCACCGAUGACGAGAUUACGAAGAAUGUAAUAUGUUGGUUCAACCUGGCAGCAGAUAGGGGAAGCUCAAGGAGCCGUCCCAAUGUCAGCAUCCUGAC